AAGUCCACUAGUUCUUCCUCAGCAUUGGGAUACACUUCACGCACCCUCUUUUCAUACUCCUCUUCAGGCACAGCCUCGACUGGAGCAGCAGCAUCUACAACUUCAACCAUGUUGCAAUCGUAGACUUCGACAUAGGUAGCAUCAGCAGUUGGCAAAGGGUCUGCAUCUACCUUCAUUGGAGGCUUUGCCUUAUCAGCAUACUUCAGCCUUCCUUCAUUCAGCGCUUUUUGCACCAAAUCCCUGAAAACAACACAUUGAUAAGUUUUAUGUCCCAAAUAAUUAUGAAACUUACAAUAACCUCUUUUUUUCCUUUGCUCUAUUGGUGGUAUUUUCAUAUCUUUUGGCACAAUAAUUUGGCCGUCAGCCACCAAUAAAUCAAAAAUUUCAUCACAUUUAGUAAUGUCGAAGGUAUAAGUUUUCGUAACGAACUUAUCAUUUUUUGGUUCGACUGGAUUUUUUCCAUUCGACGGCCUUAACAACUUGCAAGUGUAAGGAGGCCCAGGCUUUAAUUCAGCCACAUUAAUAUCACUA
rnacentral:lncRNA from 1 species